rnacentral:tRNA from 1 species
AGAAGCUUAGGUUCACUACAAACCGAAGGCCUUCAAAGCCUUAAACAAGAGUUAGACCCUCUUAGCUUCUG